rnacentral:rRNA from 1 species
CCCUUAGAUGUUCUGGGCCGCACGCGCGCUACACUGACUACUUCAACGAGUUGUUUCCUUGAUCGAAAGGUCUGGGUAAUCUUUAAAAGGUAGUCGUGAUGGGGAUAGAUCCUUGCAAUUUUUGAUCUUCAACGAGGAAUUCCUAGUAAACGCAAGUCAUCAGCUUGCAUUGAUUACGUCCCUGCCCUUUGUACACACCGCCCGUCGCACCUACCGAUUGAAUGGUCCGGUGAAUCUUUAGGACUGUGGCUGAGGCCUUGCCUUGUGCGGGUCUGGCCGUGGGAAUUUAGUUAAACCUUACCAUUUAGAGGAAGGUGAAGUCGUAACA